rnacentral:rRNA from 1 species
AUUGAACGCUGGCGGCAUGCCUUACACAUGCAAGUCGAACGCCCCGCAAGGGGAGUGGCAGACGGGUGAGUAACACGUGGGAACGUACCCUUUGGUUCGGAAUAACUUGGGGAAACUCAAGCUAAUACCGGAUAAGCCCUUAUGGGGAAAGGUUUACUGCCGAAGGAUCGGCCCGCGUCUGAUUAGCUAGUUGGUGAGGUGAUGGCUCACCAAGGGGACGAUCAGUAGCGGGUCUGAGAGGAUGAUCAGCCACACUGGGACUGAGACACGGCCCAGACUCCUACGGGAGGCAGCAGUGGGGAAUAUUGGACAAUGGGGGCAACCCUGAUCCAGCCAUGCCGCGUGAGUGAUGAAGGCCUUAGGGUUGUAAAGCUCUUUUACCCGGGACGAUAAUGACUGUACCGGGAGAAUAAGCCCCGGCUAACUUCGUGCCAGCAGCCGCCGUAA